rnacentral:lncRNA from 1 species
UUUUGUCUUACACUUUCUGCAGAUCGGGAUGCAAUGAACACAACUUUGCUAGCUGAGAGGAAUGUUUCAAAUGCUAUGGCUCCAAGGGACUCGCACUAGCUAGAAAUGAGAUUAUCCAAUUUGGGGUAUAUAUUCACCAUUUAUUAGCAGUUACAAUUUCUGCUUCUGAAUCUGAAGCAUAAAAUUAUUGGCAUAUUACCACGCAUGUUCCUUUAAUUACAGCUUUACAAGAAUUAGAGAAUUUAAUUGGUUAUAUUAAAUUUGUAAUUAAUUUAUAUAUAUUUUUUCUUUAAAUUAUUGAUAAAACUAUUGAUAUUUAAUUUUUAAAUUUUCUUUAAGUUAUUUUUUGGCUUGAGCAAUCAAUAUUGAAGACAAUUUAGAGGGAUUAUAUAUGUAUCAAAACAAUUUUUUUAAAAGGUUCUAUAUAAAGAAUUAGAGGCAUACUAAUAAAAAUAUUCAUGGUUUAAUUUUGUUUUAGGGAUCCUAGCCAAGGAGAGACAAGAGAUUCUGCAAGAUUUCUUACAGCUUCUUCUGGAUGUAAAAGUCAUUUUGAAUUCUACAUAUAAAACAGUGGUUUCAAUGUCAUGUUACAAUAAGAAGCUGCAUCCCUUGCACUUUCUGUGAUUUAC